UCCCUGGUGGUCUAGUGGUUACUGAUCCUGCGCUCUCACUGCCGCAGCCCGGGUUCGAUUCCUGGGCAGGGAA
rnacentral:tRNA from 1 species